AUCUGGCAGCACAAUUAAUUGGGUUAACCGGACUGAUACAGAACAGCUGCUCUGCUUAUGCAGUACACCUCGAUUGGCGGAGCCACAGUAUGAGUUGUGCCUGUGCUUUUGCCAUCUGCACUGCAGUCCCCAUUACGGAUGCAGCGCUGAGCAGCUUAUUUCACAACUGACUGAAGGCAAGGGGAAAAGCACGUGCGUGUGUGAGGUUAUUCCUUUCAUCAUUCAAAACUGAUUUGGAGGUUGGCAAGGAACAGCAGUGGGCAGAGGGAGCAGAGGAGCCUCGCACCUCCACCUGCAGUUGUGCCUCACGGGAAGUGCAAAGUGCAAAGCCAG
ensembl:lncRNA